rnacentral:rRNA from 1 species
UGGGGAAUUUUGGGCAAUGGGCGAAAGCCUGACCCAGCAACGCCGCGUGAAGGAUGAAGUAUUUCGGUAUGUAAACUUCGAAAGAAUAGGAAGAAUAAAUGACGGUACUAUUUAUAAGGUCCGGCUAACUACGUGCCAGCAGCCGCGGUAAUACGUAGGGACCAAGCGUUGUUCGGAUUUACUGGGCGUAAAGGGCGCGUAGGCGGCAAUUCAAGUCAUCUGUGAAAUCUCCGGGCUUAACUCGGAACGGUCAGAUGAUACUGCUUUGCUAGAGUGCAGAAGGGGCAAUCGGAAUUCUUGGUGUAGCGGUGAAAUGCGUAGAUAUCAAGAGGAACACCUGAGGCGAAGGCGGGUUGCUGGGCUGAUACUGACGCUGAGGCGCGAAAGCUAGGGUAGCAAACGGGAUUAGAUACCCCAGUAGUCCCUGAGCGGGCUGGCAAGGCGCAU